rnacentral:rRNA from 1 species
AGAGUUUGAUCAUGGCUCAGGACGAACGCUGGCGGCGUGCUUAACACAUGCAAGUCAAGGGGGCCCAGCAAUGGGCAACCGGCGAACGGGUGCGUAACACGUGAGCAACCUACCGAAAUGCGGGGGAUAGCCGGCCUAACGGCCGAGUAAUACCGCAUACGCUCUUUAUGAGGCAUUUCAUGGAGAGGAAACCUACGGGGUAUUUCGAGGGGCUCGCGGCCUAUCAGCUAGUUGGCGAGGUAACGGCUCACCAAGGCAACGACGGGUAGCUGGUCUGAGAGGAUGGCCAGCCACAUUGGGACUGAGAUACGGCCCAGACUCCUACGGGAGGCAGCAGUGGGGAAUCUUGCGCAAUGGCCUAACGGCUGACGCAGCGACGCCGCGUGUGGGAUGAAGCUCCUCGGAGUGUAAACCACUGUUGCCCGGGACGAAUAGCUCGAUUAAUCGAGCCUGACGGUACCGGGUGAGGAAGCACCGGCUAACUCCGUGCCAGCAGCCGCGGUAAUACGGGGGGUGCGAGCGUUGUCCGGAAUCACUGGGCGUAAAGGGCGCGUAGGUGGUUUGAUAAGGGUGUGGUGAAAGUCCGGGGCUCAACCCCGGAUCUGCCGUGCCGACUGUCAAACUCGAGGACUGUAGAGGCAGACGGAAUUCCGGGUGUAGCGGUGGAAUGCGUAGAGAUCCGGAGGAAGACCGGUGGCGAAGGCGGUCUGCUGGGCAGUUUCUGACACUGAGGCGCGACAGCGUGGGGAGCAAACAGGAUUAGAUACCCUGGUAGUCCACGCCGUAAACGAUGGGUACUAGGUGCCUGGGGGAGCGACCCUCUGGGUGCCGGCGCUAACGCAGGAAGUACCCCGCCUGGGGAGUACGACCGCAAGGUUGAAACUCAAAGGAAUUGACGG